GACGAACCGAGCGAACGUUAUUCGGAAUCACUGGGCUUAAAGGGUGCGUAGGCGGGCACGCGAGUCAGGGGUGAAAUCCCACGGCCCAACCGUGGAAGUGCCUCUGAUACCGCGGGCCUCGAGGGGGAUAGGGGCGUGCGGAACUUCCGGUGGAGCGGUGAAAUGCGUAGAUAUCCGGAGGAACACCGACGGCGUAGGCAGCGCCCUGGACGACACCUGACGCUGAGGCACGAAAGCUGGGGGAGCGAACAGG
rnacentral:rRNA from 1 species